rnacentral:misc_RNA from 1 species
CUAUUACUACCGCUGCUGCUGUUUAUUAAUAGGUGUUCCUGCUUUUACUAGUAGCAGCAGCAGCAGCAACAAUAAUACUUGCAGUAGUAGUAGCAGUACUACUACCACCACUACCAUAAUCGUCAUCAUUACAAGCACCAGCAGAAGCAAAAACAUCCUAAAAGAAAAAAUAGCAAGAAAAACGGACGAAAACAAACCUAGCUGGUGAAUUACUUUAAGUGGCAGUAAUAGUAGUAGUAAUAACAUUACCAUCAUCACCAGCAGAAGCGAUAAUAACACAUUUAGUAGUAGUGAUGGUGGUGGGAGAAGUUUUUGCCAAUUAAGAGCCGAGUGUUUUCGUUAAUACAACUCUCUGCAUUUCACUAGGAAGCUACAAUUAAGACCCGAGUCGAAGCCGCUUCUAAUUAACCAUUAUUACUAUUAAGGAAUUAUCUCCAGACCUCCCGUGCAGACCAAUGGGCAGUAAUAACACCAAGAUAAUUAUGAGAUGUCGAUCAUUAGUGCUGCUGAGCAUGGCUACAGUCAGCAGGUAGAGACUUUACUGGCCAAUGGUCAUUCCGUCCAUGGAAAAGACGGGAGUGGGGCCACUGCUUUGUUUUGGGCUGCGUGCAGGGGCCACACAAGGAUUUGCAACAUUCUCCUUGAAGCUAAUGCUUGCCCUGACGAUCGUGUCGAGUGGGGGUCAACGGCCCUUCAUGCUGCAGUAGACGGUGGACACACAGACUGCGUUGCUUUACUCAUCAAUUUUGGUGCCAGCGUGAAUGUGCAGAAUAAACGUGGGGACACACCUCUACACCUUGCUUGCUACCAUGGUUUCACAGACAUUACCAGUAUCCUGCUGAAGAACAACGCUGAAAUCUUCAUAGAGAAUAACGAUGGUAAAAAUUCCUACAUUGAAGCCGACAGUCAGAAAAAUUUCAAAGUUCUGGACAUCCUCUUGAGGCAUAUACGACGUUUAAACUGCACUGCAACCCCUGACAGUUCUUACCAGUAUGACAAGCAGUAUUUAUCCACGCUUCCCGUUCGCCAAUUUGCCACGGCUCCAAUGCAGCAGAACUCAUUGAACAACCUGUCGAGUUACUCUUCAUUCUCUUCAUCUUCUUCUUCUUCUUCAUCUUCUUCGGCUCCAUCCAACAAAAUGGACAGCUACGGAAGCAGUCGUUUCAACAGUAUUUCAGGCCGGGUCCCGAACGAAUGCAGUGAAAUCAGCAAUUUUUGUAGAUACAACGACAACAGCGGAAAGAAUUAUUCACAGAAAAAUAUUGGCACGAAACAAGAAUCAAACAGAUCUUUCAGUCCUUGCAACACGAUCGCAACAUUCGAUCCAGACUUGAAGAAUAUUCACAAUAUCGAGAUCCUCAAGAAUAAGUUAUCUCAAGAGGAAAUGGAAAAGAAAGAUCUAUUGAGACAGCUGAAUGCUUACGAGCAUGAUAUAUCCGAACUGAAGGAACAUAUACGUAACCUGUCGCUUCGGUUUUGCAACGAGGGCGCUGUUACUUCCAGUACCUCGUUACGUCCAGAUGACUCCUUCGUUAACAAUGCAUCGAAACCCGUGCAGAACAAUCAUUCCGAUGUCUCCCCUCUUUCUAGAUUUGUAAAUACCGAUUCCCCUCAAGUCGAAGCGACGUGCCCAACCAACAACAAUUCCACCGGCAUUCACGAUUCUCAAUUACAUUCUCCGGUCACUCAUUCUCACAAAAUCUUGCUCCAAAUCUGUCGGCAGUCGGCCAAUUUGGGGCCAGAUAUCUUAAAGCAGCAUCUGCUAUUGAACUGGGUCCACUACCCUCACAAACCACUCAUUAAAGACAGUGAAAAGACUAAAUGGUUACUAGAUGUAAACUAUACACUCCGGGAUCGUACACCCUUGAAUGGCGGGAGGCCUGACUGCCUGGAAGGGACAUGUUCCCUAAUAUUCAGAAUACAGUACAACCAACACAAUCUCAUACUUAAGAUGCUGCUGAACAUUCUAGAAAUGAAUGAAUACGGCCACAACCAGGGCCUCAGCACGCAGAAUGCCCUCCAGCACAGGUUUGGUCCUGAAUGCCUACCCAACAGUCUACCUUUGCACAGGAACAUCAUCCAGAUUCUACACAAUUACAAGGGCUCCACUUUAAGCUUCAAGGAGUACCAACCUUAUUUCAUACCGAGUGAGAUAGAGAAUUUGGAAUCGGCAUACCAGACGCUGUUCCUUAUUCUACACGAAUACCCCACCACUUUGAAGAAAUUCAUAGAAUUCUCCAUAAUCGAUCCGGAUCAAUUUGAGACGUUCUUCUUGCAGAUUCUAUACCAGUUGCUUAAUGCGGUCAGUUUUCUUCAAGAGCAUCAUGUCGCCCAUCGAGACAUCAAAGCCGAUAACAUCUUCCUUAACUGUUUCCUACAACCGGUGCUGGCCGAUUUCGGAUUUGCUCGGAAGCUGCGAGAUGAUGGUGACGUCCAAGGUCGUGAUCACGUUCCGUUGUAUCCAGACAGCUUGCAGGACAUCAAAUGUGCCAAUCCGUUUGCAUGGGCUCCGGAACUAACGCGAUGGAAUAACGGUUUCGAAAGUAUUUCUCUAAAAGACGCGACUUUGGAUGAAAUCUAUCGAUGUUCAGACACCUAUGCCAUCGGUAGAAUGUUCUACGCAUUCUUCAUGUUGGAUACCCAGACGUUUCCAAGUGUGGGUAGUCUUAAGCCACAUUACACUAAGGAUGAAAUACCUGCACUCCAAAUACCUCCUAGUCUCGCUUAUAUUCUACAACACCUUGUGAUGGAUUUGCCUUCUGAACGACUCACAGCACGAGAAGCUAUGCUUAGGAUUGGUUGUCUUCUUUAUCCGCCAUCAGAAGGGGACGUCACGCGUCAAGAAGAAGUCGGUUUUUACCUUAAAGCAAAGAGGUUGUCACUGCUUUCUGUUCCUCCUCCAAAUAUGCCGGAAGAGUCCAUGUAUGGCAAGGAGGUGUGUAGCAUAGCAGAGAGUAUCCAGAUAAACAGGGACCUCUUGGAGGCCAAUUUCCUGUCCACGGUCACCAAUGAGGAAUUCUGGGAAGCCUACCAAACAAUGGCCCCUUUCAUAACGACCACAGUCACGUGACUGACCCCUACUCCACUAAUUAUACCCACCCUCAUCUCUGCUCCCAUCAUCUGUUCAAACUUAGACAUACAAACACAUAUAUAUAUGUGUGUGUGUGU